rnacentral:misc_RNA from 1 species
AGAAGAUGUCGAAGAGUAUAGCUGGAGGGAGGUGCUGCUGCCCUCACUCAUCCCCAUAGUCCCUGAGCCGGAGCUCGAGAGGGAGUCCGGCGAGCGACGGAGGGGCAGGGACAUCCUUGUCGCCAUCGACCACGGCCCAAACUCCAAGCACGCCCUCGACUGGGCUCUCGUCCACCUUGCACGUCUCGCCGACACCCUCCACCUCAUCCACGCCGUCUCCAGUGUACAGAAUGAGUUGUCGUAUGAGACAACCCGGGAGCUCAUGGAGAAGCUGGCCGUCGAAGCCUUUCAGGUCUCCAUGGUGAGGACCAAGGCUCGGAUCGUGGAAGGGGAUGCUGGGACGGUGAUCUGCCGCGAGGCUGAACGGCUCAAGCCCGCUGCCGUUGUCUUGGGCACACGCGGUCGGAGCCUCUUCCAGAGUGUGCUGCAAGGUAGCGUGAGCGAGCAUUGCUUUCACAACUGCAAGGCUGCGCCUGUCAUCAUCGUCCCAGGCAAAGAUGCAGGGGAAUCCUCGGUUAUCUGAUUGAACAUGAGCAUAGCAUUGUUUCGUUCUGUUGGAGUGAUUCCAUUUGCAGUUAUUUGCGUCCUUGUGAUUUGUUUCAGAUUUUGAGUGUAAUGAUAGUGCUGAUUGUUUUUUAUUUGUUUUUAAUGUUCAAGUUGUGUAAAUUUUAAGUCUGUUUU